rnacentral:rRNA from 1 species
UACAGAGGAUGCAAGCGUUAUCCGGAAUGAUUGGGCGUAAAGCGUCUGUAGGUGGCUUUUUAAGUCCGCCGUCAAAUCCCAGGGCUCAACUCUGGACAGGCGGUGGAAACUACCAAGCUGGAGUACGGUAGGGGCAGAGGGAAUUUCCGGUGGAGCGGUGAAAUGCGUAGAGAUGUGGAGGAACACCGAUGGCGAAGGCAGCCUCCUGGGCCAACACUGACGCUCAUGCACGAAAGCGUGGGGAGCAAACAGG